CAAGUCGAACGAGAAAGUCCCCUUCGGGGGAUAAGUAAAGUGGCGCACGGGUGAGUAACACGUAGGUAAUCUACCUUCGGGUGGGGAAUAACCCAGGGAAACUUGGGCUAACACCGCAUAAUGCAGCGGCACCACAUGGUGACAGUUGUUAAAGCGGGGGAUUUUAGGACCUCGCGCCUGAAGAGGAGCCUGCGGCGGAUUAGCUAGUUGGUGAGGUAACGGCUCACCAAGGUGACGAUCCGUAGCCGGCCUGAGAGGGCGGUCGGCCACACUGACACUGACAUACGGGUCAGACUCCUACGGGAGGCAGCAGUCGGGAAUUUUGGGCAAUGGGCGAAAGCCUGACCCAGCAACGCCGCGUGAAGGAUGAAAUCCCUCGGGAUGUAAACUUCGCAAGAAUGGGAAGAAUUAGUAGGGGUCAAUACCCCCUAUGAUGACGGUACCAUUUGUAAGCUCCGGCUAACUCCGUGCCAGCAGCCGCGGUAAUACGGGGGGAGCAAGCGUUGUUCGGAUUUACUGGGCGUAAAGGGCGCGUAGGCGGUCAGCACAAGUCAGUUGUGAAAUCUCCGGGCUUAACCCGGAACGGUCAACUGAUACUGUGCGACUAGAGUGCGGAAGGGGCAACUGGAAUUCUCGGUGUAGCGGUGAAAUGCGUAGAUAUCGAGAGGAACACCUGCGGCGAAGGCGGGUUGCUGGGCCGACACUGACGCUGAUGCGCGAAAGCCAGGGGAGCGAACGGGAUUAGAUACCCCGGUAGUCCUGGCCUUAAACGAUGGAUGCUUGGUGUCUGGGGUUUUAUAGUCCCCGGGUGCUGCAGCUAACGCGUUAAGCAUCCCGCCUGGGGAGUACGGUCGCAAGACUGAAACUCAAGGAAUUGACGGGGACCCGCACA
rnacentral:rRNA from 1 species